AGUACAACUGUUAUUACUGAAAGUGCAUGCCGCCUUAUGGCCAUUUGAUGAUCUCCCCCAAAGUCACGUGUUCCCUAUAGCAGGAGUAAGGAUAAACAUUCAAGCAGGAAAAAGGUACUACAAAAUUGAAUUUAAGAUGCUUCUGAAAUCUAUCUACUCAACAUAAGUACAAACAACACCGUGUGUAAUAUAAUGGUUCAUUAAUAAUUCAUACCUUGGGAACUUUAGGCAAUCUCUUCCUCGCUGAUUCAUUCACUGCUCUUCAUAGCUUUCUUCACUUCACCAUGUACUGUAGGGGCUCCAGUUUAGGACAACUGGGAGCAAACGAUAGCUUGGGUAACCACUGCAGAAUCCACGCGAAGAAGCAGUGCCCUUUCCGUCAGUAGCAUGAUCACUAUGCAGCAGUAGCGCAGAGGCAGUGCCCGAGCGGCGCUGAGAGGUUGAAUGUCGAGUGCGCCUACCGCGUACAAGUUGCACGGCCAGUGGCAUCAGGGCCUCCUCGGUCGCCUCGCCCAUUUGAGCUGCCAGUAGCACAUCAAAGUGUCCUCCUUGGUGCAUCAAGGGUUUGGAAAGGCUGAAGAAAAUAUUCUGCAACAGUUUCUACUGCAGGUAAUCAAGUUUCUUCAUCAACAGCUGGCCUUUUUGGCUCUCAGUCGAAUACCCACGC
rnacentral:lncRNA from 1 species